rnacentral:lncRNA from 1 species
AACCCUAAUGCUGACUGAAUGGAAAAAGUUCAGUUUAGGGUUUAAAACCCUAAUGCUGACUAAAGGGAAAAAGUUCAGUUUAGGGUUUAAAACCCUAAUCCUGAUUAGAGGGAAAAGUUCAGUUUAGGGUUUAAAACCCUAAUGCUGACUAAAGGAAAAGAGUUCAGUUUAGGGUUUAAAACCCUAAUGCUGACUGAAGGGGAGAGUUCAGUUUAGGGUUUAAAACUCUAAUGCUGACUAAAGGAAAGAGUUCAGUUUAGGGUUUAAAACCCUAAUGUUGACUGAAUGGAAAGAGUUCAGUUUAGGGUUUAAAACCCUAAUGCUGACUGAAUGGAAAGAGUUCAGUUUAGGGUUUAAAACCCUAAUGCUGACUGAAUGGAAAAAGUUCAGUUUAGGGUUUAAAACCCUAAUCCCGACUAAAGGGAAAAG